CCCUGAGUGACUCUUUGGCUCAAACUGUUCUGGUUUGUGGAAGACAUGCCUGUUUUCUUCCCUGGGCUAACUGUGAAGCUCAGAAGAGGACGAAGGGCCCCGAUGGCAGAUGAAUCACACAGGGCUGUGCGGCCUCAGCCCCACGGCCGGGGAGUUUAGUGGCCUCCUGGAGGAGAAGUUGACUUUGGAGGACCUGGAACACCGUGGCUGCUGGGAGUUGGGGCUGUGUGGGAGGCUUCUGUCUCUGUGUGACAUUUGGUCAUAACCACUGGACUUUGGAACAUUCUGCUUAAAACCACAGCUUUGGCUGGGCACGGUGGCUCACGCCUGUAACCCCAGCAUUUUGGGAGGCUGAGGUGGGCAGAUUUCUUGUGCUCAGGAGUUCAAGGCCAGCCUGGGCAACAUGGCAAAAUCCUGUCUCUACUAAAAAUACAAAAAUUAGCUGGCCAUGGUGGCUCACACCACUUGGGUGGCUGAGGCAGGAGAAUCACUUGAACCCAGGAGGUGGAGGCUGCAGUGAGCCGAGAUCACGCCGCUGCACUCCAGCCUGGGCAACAGACUGAGACCCUGUCUCAAAAAACAAAACAAAACAACAACAACAAAAACCCCCACAACUUUACCUAGACUCAGCUGUGAAAACUUCAGUGAAUCUGGCCUCAAAUUGUCACUAUGGGGGGAGCCACUGGCAGAAACCAGGAUUCACCCUCUGGCUGCUGCUUCGGAGCCUAAACAUCAACAGCUCCACCACUAUUGCGACACCCACCACCAGUCUGCAGAUUGUAGUCACUCUCAGCUGCCAGCUGCUCCCAGAGCUGGAGAAGGGGACAUGGCUUUCUCCCAUGAUCCAGCCUUCCGGACUCCAGUGCCUCUCAUUGGCCAGAAACUUGCAUCAAGAGAAGCUGGGAAUAUAGUUCAUAGGCUUCCAGCCCUGGCAGUUACAAAUUAGAGUAUAGAGUGAAAAGUUAGAAGCUACGUCGACAGAUAAAUAAACAGCACAGAUUGCAAGAUGGAGAAGCACAAUCAAGAGGCAGUUACUCUUUGUCCACGAGAAAAAUGAAAGGUAAUUCAAACAUCUGGGGGCCGCGGGCGGGGGGAAU
rnacentral:lncRNA from 10 species